GACGAACGCUGGCGGCGUGCUUAACACAUGCGAGUCGAACGGAAAGGCCCUGCUUUUGUGGGGUGCUCGAGUGGCGAACGGGUGAGUAACACGUGAGUAACCUGCCCUUGACUUUGGGAUAACUUCAGGAAACUGGGGCUAAUACCGGAUAGGAGCUCCUGCUGCAUGGUGGGGGUUGGAAAGUUUCGGCGGUUGGGGAUGGACUCGCGGCUUAUCAGCUUGUUGGUGGGGUAGUGGCUUACCAAGGCUUUGACGGGUAGCCGGCCUGGGAGGGUGACCGGCCACAUUGGGACUGAGAUACGGCCCAGACUCCUACGGGAGGCAGCAGUGGGGAAUAUUGCACUAUGGGCGGAAGCCUGAUGCAGCAACGCCGCGUGCGGGAUGACGGCCUUCGGGUUGUAAACCGCUUUCGCCUGUGACGAAGCGUGAGUGACGGUAAUGGGUAAAGAAGCACCGGCUAACUACGUG
rnacentral:rRNA from 1 species